CCAAUAGCGUAUAUUAAAGUUGUUGCAGUUAAAAAGCUCGUAGUUGAAUUUCGGGAUUUAUCCGUCGGUCGGGCUUUUGGGUCUGUACUGGCGUGAUGGAUUCCUACCUUCUGAAUAACCGGCAUGUCAUUAAUUUGGUGCGCCGGGGAAGCAGGACUGUUACCUUGAAAAAAUUAGAGUGCUUAAAGCAGGCUUAUGCCUGAAUACAUUAGCAUGGAAUAAUGAAAUAGGACGGCAUGGUUCUAUUUUGUUGGUUUCUAGGAUCACCGUAAUGAUUAAUAGGGAUAGUUGGGGGCAUUAGUAUUCAAUUGUCAGAGGUGAAAUUCUUGGAUUUAUUGAAGACUAACUUCUGCGAAAGCAUUUGCCAAGGAUGUUUUCAUUAAUCAAGAACGAAAGUUAGGGGAUCGAAGACGAUCAGAUACCGUCGUAGUCUUAACCAUAAACUAUGCCGACUAGGGAUCGGAUGAUGUUAAUUUUUUAAUGACUCGUUCGGCGCCUUACG
rnacentral:rRNA from 1 species